UACGAAGGGGGCAAGCGUUGUCCGGAUUUAUUGGGCGUAAAGAGCGUGUAGGCGGCUUUACAGGUCCGUUGUGAAAACUCGAGGCUCAACCUCGAGACGCCGGUGGAAACCGUAAGGCUAGAGUCCGGAAGAGGAGAGUGGAAUUCCUGGUGUAGCGGUGGAAUGCGCAGAUAUCAGGAAGAACACCCGUGGCGAAGGCGGCUCUCUGGGACGGUACUGACGCUGAGACGCGAAAGCGUGGGGAGCGAACAGG
rnacentral:rRNA from 1 species